CAAGUCGUUUAUUCAAUGUCCUUUUGGCAAUUUGACGUGAAACGUCAGUUUGACUUGAAACAUGAACAGUGAAUCUCGAGCAAGUGUUUCAGUGUAGAAAAUUCGUGUUUUCUUAGUGCAGUGAGCAUCUAGACCUCGAAAGUCUCACUAUUUGGAUCGGUGAGUGUCUUUUUAACAUGCGGCUGUUUACAUUAACCCCCAGAAGAGUUUAACGGGCCAAAACUGAACCGAAUCCUAGUGGUAGGAUCCUACAGAAACAGGCUUUUUAGAGUUGAAAGCAGAAAAUCGAAGCCACAUAAGCAGGUUGAAGUUUGGAAAUUCAUUAAAAACUAUUCGAAAGCGUCAUCAGUUUGAAGCACUCACAACACGUUAACUAGGUUUUGUGCUAAUUAAUGCCGAAAUCCGSCACUUUUCCGCCCUYAGGUUUAAGAGAAAAGGCAACUUUUUAAAAUGUCCGCACAAAAUCGUUCUUGUCUAUAAUAAAUAAUKAURUUAUUUGCGAAUUUCCUACGGGGUUUGCCCUCCACGGCCAUAUUGUUUGUCGUUUGCCAAGUCGUUUAUUCAAUGUCCUUUUGGCAAUUUGACGUGAAACGUCAGUUUGACUUGAAACAUGAACAGUGAAUCUCGGGCAAGUGUUUCAGUGUAGAAAAUUCGUGUUUUCUUAGUGCAGUGAGCAUCUAGACCUCAAAGAUCGCACUAUUUGUAUUGGUUGGGUGUCGCCGAUUGCUUCAACUUCAAGCCCAUUCUUCAGUCAGCUUCACUGACGGAUGAUACAGCCAUGUCUGCAAACGCGGCAGAAAAUUGCAAAUAAUGUAUAACUUUUGACUAAGAAAAUAUAACUUUUGAAAGGCAACGGACUGGAACAGAUUCCAAGAUUUUUUAGAGGCGAAUUGAUGCAAAAGCAACAAUAAAAUCAACUACUUACUAAAUUGAAUUUUUUGCUACAUUUUGGGGGUAAACAUAUUAGCAGAGAGCGUUGAGGGUCUCUAUUAACGACUUCCCCCCGUAAUUUUGAAAAACCGACUAAUCAGCUGCAGAUCCAGAAAAAAACCGCAAAAAAAUCAAACAACACAUACCUGUAUGGGCCAAA